rnacentral:rRNA from 1 species
CUACCAAGCCGAUGAUCCGUAGGGGGCGUGAGAGCGUGGCCCCCCACACUGGCACUGAGACACGGGCCAGACUCCUACGGGAGGCAGCAGUGAGGAAUAUUGCACAAUGGGCGCAAGCCUGAUGCAGCAACGCCGCGUGAGGGACGAAGGCCUUCGGGUUGUAAACCUCUUUUCUGAGGGACGAGGAAGGACGGUACCUCAGGAAUAAGUCUCGGCUAACUACGUGCCAGCAGCCGCGGUAAAACGUAGGAGGCGAGCGUUAUCCGGAUUUACUGGGCGUAAAGCGCGCGCAGGUGGCUUCGUGAGUCGGACAUGAAAGCUCCUGGCUUAACUGGGAGAGGCUGUUCGAUACUGCGGGGCUUGAGGUUGGGAGAGGGACGCGGAAUUCCCGGUGUAGUGGUGGAAUGCGUAGAUAUCGGGAGGAACACCAGUGGCGCAAGCGGCGUCCUGGCCCACACCUGACGCUGAGGUGCGAAAGCGUGGGUAGCAAACAGGAUUAGAUACCCUGGUAGUCCACGCUGUAAACGAUGUCAACUGGGUGUCGGUAGUUUUACACUAUCGGUGCCGAAGCUAACGCG